rnacentral:rRNA from 1 species
UGGGGAAUAUUGCGCAAUGGGCGAAAGCCUGACGCAGCGGCGCCGCGUGAGGGAAGAAGGCCUUCGGGUCGUAAACCUCUGUCUAGAGGGAAGAAACCAUUGAGGUCGAACAGGCCUCUUUGCUGACGGUACCUCUGAAGGAAGCACCGGCUAACUCCGGGCCAGCAGCCGCGGUAAUACGGAGGGUGCGAGGGUUAAUCGGAAUCAAUGGGCGAAAAGCGCACGUAGGCGGUGUUGUAAGUCGGAUGUGAAAGCCCUCGGCUCAACCGGGGACCUGCAUUCGAUACUGCGAUGCUUGAGUGCCGUAUAUGGUGUCGGAAUUCCAGGUGUAGGAGUGAAAUCCGUAGAUAUCUGGAGGAACACCAGUGGCGAAGGCGGCCACCUGGCCGGCAACUGACGCUGAGGUGCGAAAGCGUGGGGAUCAAACA